rnacentral:rRNA from 1 species
AAUGAACGCUGGCGGUAUGCCUAACACAUGCAAGUCGAACGGCAGCACAGUAAGUGCUUGCUCUUACGGGUGGCGAGUGGCGGACGGGUGAGGAAUGCAUCGGAUUCUACUUUUUCGUGGGGGAUAACGUAGGGAAACUUACGCUAAUACCGCAUACGACCUACGGGUGAAAGCAGGGGAUCUUCGGACCUUGCGCGAUUGAAUGAGCCGAUGUCGGAUUAGCUAGUUGGCGGGGUAAAGGCCCACCAAGGCGACGCUCCGUAGCUGGUCUGAGAGGGUGAUCCGCCAGACUGGAACUGAGACACGGUCCAGACUCCUACGGGAGGCAGCAGUGGGGAAUAUUGGACAAAGGGCGAAAGCCUGAUCCAGCCAUACCGCGUGGGUGAAGAAGGACUUCGGGUUGUAAAGCCCUUUUGUUGGGAAAGAAAAGCAGCAGGUUAAUACCCCGCUGUUAUGACUGUACCCAAAGAAUAAGCACCGGCUAACUUCGUG